ACACGACUACAUUAGAUACCCGGGUAGUCCAGGGUGUAAACGCUGCAGACUUGGUGUUGGAGGCCCUUUGGGGGCAUUCAGUGCCGGAGAGAAGUUGUUAAGUCUGCUACUUGGGGAGUACGUCCGCAAGGAUGAAACUUAAAGGAAUUGGCGGGGGAGCACCGCAACGGGAGGAGCGUGCGGUUUAAUUGGAUUCAACACCGUAAACUCACCAGGGAAGACUGUUACAUGAAGGCCGAGAUGAAGACUCUGCUAGAUUUUCAG
rnacentral:rRNA from 1 species